UACGGGGGUGGCAAGCGUUACUCGGAAUUAUUGGGUGUAAAGGGCAAGUAGGCGGUCUAAUAAGUGAGGGGUGAAAUCUCCCGGCUCAAUCGGGAAACUGCCUUUCAUACUGUUAGGCUUGAGGUAGGAAGAGGGAAAUGGAAUUCUCGGUGUAAGGGUGAAAUCUGUAGAUAUCGAGAAGAACACCAGCAGCGAAGGCGAUUUCCUGGUCCUAUCCUGACGCUAAAUUGCGAAAGCUAGGGGAGCAAACAGAAUUAGAUACUCUGGUAGUCCUAGCCGUAAACGAUGAGCACUAGGUGUUGGUUCCUUCGGGGAUCAGUGCCGCAGCUAACGCAUUAAGUGCUCCACCUGGGGACUACGGUCGCAAGGCUAAA
rnacentral:rRNA from 1 species